UCUAAAUCUUUCUUCCGAGGCUAGUGAGCGUUUUUUAUUUUUGUGGAUACGACCACGAUAUCUCAAUUUUUUUUGUCAUUAGAGUUGAAUGAAUGAUGUAAUUCGAACGAUUACACACGGAAAUCGAGGAUUUUAAGUAGUUUCCGUAUCUGUUUUUAUCCUUCUGCGCGUUUAGAAGCCGAUUCUGCGUUAUUUUUGAUAUUUAUUUUAAAAUUGUUCGCUCAGUCCCAAUCAAAUCAUUUGUAUUGUAACAAAAAGUAUUUAAAUCCUAAUCCGUUUAUUUUUUUUUUAUUAGUUUGUUUAUCGGUUUUUAAUAUAUAAACAGAAAAUGCUUUCGACAAAAUGAGUUAUAUACAAAUAGUGUGCGAAUG
rnacentral:rRNA from 1 species